rnacentral:rRNA from 1 species
CCUAGUAAGCACAAGUCACCAGCUUGUGCUGAUUACGUCCCUGCCCUUUGUACACGCCGCCCGUCGCUACUACCGAUUGAAUGGCUUAGUGAGGUCUUCGGAUCGGCGAUUGAUGAGUAGCAAUAUUCGCCUGUUGCUGAGAAGUUGAUCAAACUUGGUCAUUUAGAGGAAGUAAAAGUCGUAACAAGGUUUCCGUAGGUGAACCUGCGGAAGGAUCAUUA